UGAAGAGUUUGAUCAUGGCUCAGAUUGAACGCUGGCGGCAGGCCUAACACAUGCAAGUCGAGCGGUAACAGAUCUAGCUUGCUAGAUGCUGACGAGCGGCGGACGGGUGAGUAACGCGUAGGAAUCUACCCAGUAGCGGGGGAUAAGCCAGAGAAAUUUGGUCUAAUACCGCAUACGCCCUUCGGGGGAAAGCAGGGGAUCUUCGGACCUUGCACUAUUGGAUGAGCCUGCGUGAGAUUAGCUAGUUGGUGAGGUAAUGGCUCACCAAGGCGACGAUCUCUAGCUGGUCUGAGAGGAUGAUCAGCCACACUGGGACUGAGACACGGCCCAGACUCCUACGGGAGGCAGCAGUGGGGAAUUUUGGACAAUGGGCGCAAGCCUGAUCCAGCAAUGCCGCGUGAGUGAUGAAGGCCUUAGGGUUGUAAAGCUCUUUUACCAGGGAUGAUAAUGACAGUACCUGGAGAAUAAGCUCCGGCUAACUCCGUGCCAGCAGCCGCGGUAAUACGGAGGGAGCUAGCGUUGUUCGGAAUUACUGGGCGUAAAGCGCGCGUAGGCGGUUACUCAAGUCAGAGGUGAAAGCCCGGAGCUCAACUCCGGAACUGCCUUUGAAACUAGGUGACUAGAAUCUUGGAGAGGCGAGUGGAAUUCCGAGUGUAGAGGUGAAAUUCGUAGAU
rnacentral:rRNA from 1 species